AAUAUUUUCCAGGUAGCCUUCAAAUGCUAGCUAUUCUUCAGGUUCCGAAACCAUCUUCACCAAUUGAUAACAAUCCAUAGCAAACGUGACAUGACACGUAUAUGAUAUAUAAUAUGUAAAAAAUGUUAUAAACUUGGUAAAUGGUUUAAUUUUUUUAAUCUAUUGUAAGACAAUUAAGCCAAAAUCAUCAUUUUAGUGUUUUAUGGAAAUUUACUGUCAUCUAGUUGCAUCAAGAGAGACGUUAGGGUAUGAUUAACCCCGGUCUUUUAGCCGGGGUUCUUAAUUCAUGAUUUGAUAUUUUUUUUGUUUUUUUGUUUACACUUUUCGACUAAGAGACGGUUCUUAUAUCUCUUACUUAAGAGACGGUUCUUAGUUUUUCUUAGUUAAAAUCUAAAAAAAGAUAAAAACUGUCUCUUAACCGAAGCAAAUAACCCCAAUUAAGAUACUGAGCUUAAUCAUGGUCUUAGUAUUUAUGUCUACACAUCUAUAUUAUUAAAACUGAAGUACAUUUGAGAGUUGUUUGGGUAUAUGAAUAGUGGGAUUAAUAAAAACUGUUUUGUUUGGAUGCAUAGAUAUAGUUAAUACUUUAGAUUUUAAUUUAAAAAUUCGACAUGCUUUUUAAAAACGUGAACAAAACAAAAUAAAGCAUAUAUUUAAUACUUUAGAUUUUAACUUAAAAUAGGAUUAAUAAAAACGGCUAGAUUUUAAUAGAACGUAAGUUCCAAGUUAAAAAUAAGGCAUAUAUUUCAAAAAAAAAUAUACACAAAAUCUAAACAUAACAAAAACAUAAUUCCAACACAUUAACUCCACAUAUAUCGAUCUUACAAACUAACAUAUCUGCUGUCAAAAAAAAAAAAAAAACUAACUAACAUAUCUAAACGAGAAUCCUAAUUACUUGAUUCCCUCAUUUCACACCUUCUUUAUCCAAUUUUCAAAUAAUAAAUUAUCAAAACCAUUUUAAGUAUAACAACCGAAUAUUCUCUUUUUGUGCUAACAAAUUUAGUUACUUAGGCAACUAAUAUAUAUCUUCCUUGAUUGACUCCACAAAAAUCGUGCUAUUACAUUUUUAAAAAAAAUCUUUAGAUUACGUAUAACCCACUAUAUAUAUAAACCUUCCCCUCAUAUUCUUCAUACUCACCGUAGCAAAGAAAAAAAAAACUAAAAUGUCUAACAAGUAAAGUAGUUUGGUUUUGUCGAACAAGCAGAGUUUGGUUUUUCUUAACCAAGUCAAACCCUUCAAAGACACUUGGCGAGUACAUGUGAAGUGUCUUCACUCAUGUAAGAUAAACAACAACUCUGGUAAAUCUCUCGAAUGCGUUCUCGUGGAUGAACAAGGUGAGAAACUUCAUGCUUCUGCCAAAAGAAAUCAGAUGUAUCGUCUACAGCGCAACCUUCCUAUUGGUGAAUAGCGGUUUAUUGAGAACUUUACAGUUACGAGUGCUGGAGGUUAAUAUCGAAUAACUACCUCUCCAAAUUACAUUUAUUAUUUUAUCUUUGUUUUUCUAUUAUUAUUAUUUAUUUAUGUGAAAAAAAUUAUUUUCAAAACCUUAUUCUUACAUAUUUUAAAAGUAUUUAUCAUAUAUUAAGAACAAACAGUUUCUGAUGUAAUAUAUAUUGCCUUUUCAACAUUUUUUUCAUUAAUUAUAAAUAAGGUUCCCCUAUAAUUGUAUUAAUAUAGAUUAUAAUAAUAUAGAUUUUAAAUACUGUAUAACAAUUUGACAGAUCUUACACAUCCAGUUACGAAAUAUAUAAUACACAUGAUUUUUUAACCAUAUUGAAUUGAUAUAUUUGGCUUCGUGUAAUUUUCCAUAAACAAAUGAAUAUACAUAAAAUAGAAUAUGUAUUUUUCAUAAAGCUGUAAAUUUGUUAAAAUCUAAAUAAAAUAUUGUUUGUUCUCAACAUUUCAAGAUUAAGAUCUGCAAAUGUUUAUAUAUAUAUCAUAAAAAUAUAGACCCGCCCAGUCGGGCGGGUUAAGAUCUAGUGUCAAUUACGACUGAAGUCCUCAGUCCGAAUAUGUCCAAUCCUAAAAAUUACCGGACUUGAACUUAGUUUUAUAAGUCCAAAAAAAUUGAGUCUGUCGAGCUAAGUCUAUUUGGGCUUUAGAUUUUUCGGAUCGAAGUCAAUUUGGGCUAGGCCCGGCCCGAAAACCCAAAAUUUUAUACUUUAGUUUAAAUAUUAUUAUUUUUGCAAUCAAAACUAUUAUUAGUAUUGGCAUAUAAUUUAAAUAUUUUUAUCCAAACUCUAAUAAAGUAAAUAUAAAAGCUGUUAAUACACUUUAUUGUUUGAUCAUUAUAAAUGUCACAUUUUUAAUUUUGCAAAUGUACUUUUUAACGUUAAUUUAUUAUGGUAUUACAAUUAUGAGAAAAAUUACACUUUCUUCUUUUAUCUACAACAUAUUUUUUUAUUUCAAAAUACAAAGUAUGAAACGUUUGACCAUGUUUAUCAUAAAUUUUGUUCUUUUGUAUAUUUAGUUUUAAUUUAUAUUUGAUUAUUUAAAUCUUAUUAAAUUUGAUUUGUUUAUAAUAUGUUUUAAAGCAUACCAAAAAGUAAAAUAUUUUUAUUCGUAUAACAUUUUUGAUAAAGAAGAAAAAUUUAGACUCGGUUUAUAUUUUAAAACAAAAAAUGAAACUUUAUUUUUUGGUGAAAAUUCACAUAUAUUAAAACAAUAAAAACGACAAUGACAAUUUCUUUUUCGAAAUACCCAAAAAAAACCUGAAAAGCCCAAUAGGGACCGAGCCGAACUUUGAUUCUAGGUCCAAAUAUUUCCAGAUCGGAUCGGAUUCAAAUAUUUUUAUGGAGUUCAUGGAUUUGGGCUGGACCGGACCAGUUCGAAUUGACACCUGUAUUUAGGUCUGAGUGAGAUGAUAAAAGUAUAAAGUAAUAAAACCAAGGUAUGAGUAGAUGCCACAUUUAACUUUUUAGAACUGCGAAAAAAUUUAUCAUGACCAUCUAAAUUAUAGAAAUGAAAAAAAAAAUAUUAGAUCUCCUUUGAUUAAUAUAUACUAGUUUAUUAGUAAUUUAAAAGAAAUGCACAAGAGCUUCAUCUGCCACAAUCAAAAGGGUUUUCUUUUCUUCCUUUAAUUACAAUUUGAUUGGGAAAAACAACAAUAGAAAGAUAAAUCAAAUGAUCAAAAACUCAAAUGAAAAAAGAGUAAAAUAUGAAU